rnacentral:rRNA from 1 species
AGACAGCAGUAGCCGCGGUAAGACAGAGGAUGCAAGCGUUGUCCGGAAUUAUUGGGCGUAAAGGGCUCGCAGGCGGUUUCUUAAGUCUGAUGUGAAAGCCCCCGGCUCAACCGGGGAGGGUCAUUGGAAACUGGGAAACUUGAGUGCAGAAGAGGAGAGUGGAAUUCCACGUGUAGCGGUGAAAUGCGUAGAGAUGUGGAGGAACACCAGUGGCGAAGGCGACUCUCUGGUCUGUAACUGACGCUGAGGAGCGAAAGCGUGGGGAGCGAACAGGAUUAGAUACCCCAGUAGUCCCUGUCUCUUAUAC